AAACUUACCUGGACUGGACGGAGUCAACUCAGGAUCAAGAAAACGAGUGGCCUAGGCUAGUGACUUGCUUAGCCUAAGAUCUUCCCAAGUGGAAGAGCCUAUGUACGUCAUUGUUUGUGGAAGAUGGGGUUUGGGUUCGCGCAGCCCCUAU
rnacentral:snRNA from 1 species